rnacentral:rRNA from 1 species
GACGAACGCUGGCGGCGGGCUUAACACAUGCAAGUCGAACGGAAAGGCCCUGCUUUUGUGGGGUGCUCGAGUGGCGAACGGGUGAGUAACACGUGAGUAACCUGCCCUUGACUUUGGGAUAACUUCAGGAAACUGGGGCUAAUACCGGAUAGGAGCUCCUGCUGCAUGGUGGGGGUUGGAAAGUUUCGGCGGUUGGGGAUGGACUCGCGGCUUAUCAGCUUGUUGGUGGGGUAGUGGCUUACCAAGGCUUUGACGGGUAGCCGGCCUGAGAGGGUGACCGGCCACAAUGGGACUGAGAGACGGACCAGAGUCCUACGGGAGACAGCAGUGGGGAAUCUUGCACAAUGGGCGGAAGCGUGAUGAAGCAACGCCGCGUGCGGGAUGACGGCCUUCGGGUUGUAAACCGCUUUCGCCUGUGACGAAGCUUGAGUGACGGUAAUGGGUAAAGAAGCACCGGCUAACUACGUG